rnacentral:tRNA from 3 species
CAUUAGAUGACUGAAG